rnacentral:rRNA from 1 species
GUYUUUUUGAUAAAAAUUUAAAGUCGGGCCUGCCCACUGAAAAUUUAAAUGGCCGUGGUAUUUUGACCGUGCUAAGGUAGCAUAAUCAUUAGUUUUUUAAUUGAAAGCUGGAAUGAAAGGUUUGAUAAAAAAAUGACUGUCUCUAUUUAAUUUCAUUAAAAUUUUAUUUUUAAGUUCAAAAGCUUAAGUUAAAUUAAAAGACGAGAAGACCCUAUAGAGUUUUAUAAUUUAAGAUAAUUUAUAUUUUAGAAUUAAUUUAUUUAUUUUUUAAUAUUAUUUAAUUGGGGUGAUUAAAAAAUUUAUUUAACUUUUUUUAUAUUAAACCAUUAAUUUAUGAUAAUUUGAUCCAAUUUUUUUGAUUAUAAGAUAAAAUUACCUUAGGGAUAACAGCGUAAUUUUUUUAGAAAGUUCAAAUUAAAAGAAAAGAUUGCGACCUCGAUGUUGGAUUAAAAUUAAAUUUUGGUGUAGAAGCUAGAAAUUUUAAGUCUGUUCGACUUUUAAAAUUUUACA